rnacentral:rRNA from 1 species
AACGAACGCUGGCGGUAUGCCUAACACAUGCAAGUCGAACGAGACCUUCGGGUCUAGUGGCGCACGGGUGCGUAACGCGUGGGAACCUGCCUUUAGGUUCGGAAUAACUCAGAGAAAUUUGAGCUAAUACCGGAUGAUGUCUUCGGACCAAAGAUUUAUCGCCUUUAGAUGGGCCCGCGUUGGAUUAGCUAGUUGGUGGGGUAAAGGCCUACCAAGGCGACGAUCCAUAGCUGGUCUGAGAGGAUGAUCAGCCACACUGGGACUGAGACACGGCCCAGACUCCUACGGGAGGCAGCAGUGGGGAAUAUUGGACAAUGGGCGAAAGCCUGAUCCAGCAAUGCCGCGUGAGUGAUGAAGGCCUUAGGGUUGUAAAGCUCUUUUACCCGAGAUGAUAAUGACAGUAUCGGGAGAAUAAGCUCCGGCUAACUCCGUG